CGCGCGCCUUCGGUGACGUCACAAGGAUGGGCCUUGGGGCGACGUCACAGGCUGGGGUGUUCGGCGGUGUCACGGAGUUGGUAGUGUCAGUAGCUGAGCAGUUUUCUCCUGAGAGUGGAGCCUGGUAACCGCGACCUCCCCUCCAGGUCCUGUGUGUUGCUGGCUGGAGAAGGGUAGUUGACAAACUCUGACCCAGCGCAGUGUUUAUGUCGGUCAAAAAUACAAAAAUAUGUCCAGGCGCGACCAAGGCGGGAGGAUCCCUUCAGGCCACGAGCAGUCUAGCAACAUGGCGCGACCCUGUCUCAGUAGUCCUACCUCAGCCCCCCAGCUACUUGAACCCCAAGGUUCAAGGCUCCAAUGAGCUAUGGUCCCACCACAGCAUUCCAGCCUGCGAGACUGAGAUGAUGAUGAUUCUCCACCUUCUAAGAGACCAAAGACCAUUGAGACACCACAGCCACCAGUCCCGUAACCUGCCAAUGCUGGGCAACAGAGAGUGAGGGAGUUCAACUCUGGCCCUCACAAUCCAGUGGAGGAGACGAAACUCAUCUGCCUCUGUCCCUCUGGGCGCACCUCAUGCCAGGUGCAUCUGUGGACCUGGGCCAUGCUCCUGGGCUUCCGAAGUUGGAGAAAACUGCCAGGCUCAGGCUUCUGGGCACAAAGUGGGCAGGCUCACCUGGAGGGGAUCAGAGUAACAUGGCAGAAAAUGAGGGGGAAAGCUGCCCUGGAACCGCGCCUCUCUUCCCCCUCAUGUCACUGGGGUGCACUCCUCCCUCACCUCACUCACGCAGUGACAUGGGUUCCAUUUCUGAAGACCAGAAUUCUAAAGUAAGUCCCACUGAAGCAAGGUGGGAGCAGGGUUGUUGCCUUCCGAGGCUCUGCAGGAGAUUCUGUCUCCUGGCCCUGGAGGCGGCCUGCACUUCUCAGCUUGUGCUGCAUGUCCUGAAUGACUGGAGUUUCCUGCUUCCGUCACUACACCUCCCACCCUCUCCAUCACCUUCUCUGCUCUUAUAAGGAUCCGGUUUUCAGAGAAAUGGAAUAAUCAUAUUGCUGAUCUACAUAAGCAAGUUGAAGAAUUGUCUGAAAGAAAAUAUGGUAUGUCUAAACUGGAAAAUUCCUGUAAUCCUGUGUUCAUGAGCAUUUACACAGUGGAGUUACUCUUCAUCAUGGGGGUACCGUGGACAGGCCCAGGGCUGCCGAAAUGAACUUAUGAAUUCAACAGGUGAAGAUUUACAACUUGAUUAAACAGCUUCAGGAGGUAGACAGAACUGGAAGAACAGUAUUUGUCCUACUUUUGAGAUGCAAGAUUUAUCUGGCGUAAUGCAUUGAACAGAUUAUUAUUGAAGUCUACACCGGUCAACUGAACAAGCAUUCGUCAAAUGUCCAUGAUACGUAGGACAGAAGGUUUUCUUUUAGGGUGUGGAGCCAUGCAUAUUAUCUUUUAAUUAGAUUUAGUUGAUAUGUUUUUAAAGAAAUAGAAGUAUAAUUGAUUUUCUUGUUUUGGCUCUGGAGUGGGGACGAAACAGAAUGGAAUGACACUGUUUAGAUUUACUAAAAUGGAAGGCUAACCAGUGAGAUCAUAUCCCAUCUCCCUGGACCUUUGGCUUUUACAGGUUGAGCUAUAAGAACAAUUAGAAAAAUGGAUAUCAUUUAAACACAGUAUGUAGAAAAGAAUAAUUUCUACAUAUUGUGAAUAAUUGCACCUGCUAGCAGUUCUUUUUUUUUUUUUUUUUUUUAGAUGGAGUUUU